rnacentral:rRNA from 1 species
GAUGAACGCUGGCGGCGUGCCUAAUACAUGCAAGUCGAGCGAACGGACGAGAAGCUUUCUUCUCUGAUGUUAGCGGCGGACGGGUGAGUAACACGUGGAUAACCUACCUAUAAGACUGGGAUAACUUCGGGAAACCGGAGCUAAUACCGGAUAAUAUCUUGAACCGCAUGGUUCAAAAGUGAAAGACGGUCUUGCUGUCACUUAUAGAUGGAUCCGCGCUGCACUAGCUAGUUGGUAAGGUAACGGCUUACCAAGGCAACGAUGCAUAGCCGACCUGAGAGGAUGAUCGGCCACACUGGAACUGAGACACGGUCCAGACUCCUACGGGAGGCAGCAGUAGGGAAUCUUCCGCAAUGGGCGAAAGCCUGACGGAGCAACGCCGCGUGAGUGAUGAAGGUCUUCGGAUCGUAAAACUCUGUUAUUAGGGAAGAACAUAUGUGUAAGUAACUGUGCACAUCUUGACGGUACCUAAUCAGAAAGCCACGGCUAACUACGUG